rnacentral:lncRNA from 1 species
AUUCAGCAUUUGGGUGAAGACGGAGGUGGGUUCUGGACAGACCUACGCUGUCAGGGAGUGUUUACUUCGCCUACACUUCUGUUCCUCCCCGCCCUGGUGCUGCUCCAGGUCACAUACUCGUCCUGAGCUGGCUUCAGCCUCUGCACAGAAGUCUCCCGGAGCCAUGGCCUAGUACUCUUAUGUGAAGUCUACCAAGCUUGUGCUCAAGGGAACCGAGUAAGAAGAAAAAGAGCAAAGAUAAGAAGAGAAAAAGAGAAGAAGAUGAAGAAACCAGCUUGAUAUGUUGGAAUCUGGUGAACAGUAACAAACUUUGGUGAAAUUUCAGGAACCCUAGCCAUUGAAAUGGAUGAGGGAACCUAUAUACAUGCACUCGACAAUGGUCUUUUUACCCUGGGAGCUCCACACAAAGAAGUUGAUGAGGGCCCUAGUCCUCCAGAGCAGUUUAUGGCUGUCAAAUUAUCUGAUUCCAGAAUCACCCUGAAACCGGGCUGUGGAAAAUAUCUUGGUAUAAAUUCAGAUGAACUUGUUGUUGGCGUUCAGAUGCAAUUGGACCAAGAGAACAAUGGGAACCAGUCUUUCAAAAUAUGAAUGCUGGGAAAAUGGCUUUGUUGGCCUCAAAUAGAUGCUUUAUUAGAUACAAUGAAGCAGGGGACAUAGAAGCAAAAAGUAAAACAGCAGAAGAAGAAAUGAUCAAGAUUAGAUCCUGUGCUGAAAGAGAAACCAAGAAAAAAGAUGACAUUCCAGAAGAAGACAAAGGAAAUGUAAAACAAUGUGAAAUCAAUUAUGUAAAGAAAUUUCAGAGCUUCCAAGACCACAAACUUAAAAUAAGUAAAGAAGCAGUAAAAUUCUUAAAAAGAUGCAGAAAGAUGGAUUUUUGCAUGAGAUGCUUCUGGACAGAGAACCAAAUUGAAAGCCGACAGAUACUGCAAAU